UCGGCGUUCUCGUCCUGUACUCCGUUCACAAGGAGAGGUUCAACUGCACCGGAGGGGGACUCCUGCACACCUACCUGCUGGUCCUCCUCCUCCUCUUGGCUGCCAUUAUAUGCGCUGUGUCAGCUAUUAUGUGCGUCAGCAUGCGAGGGACAAUUUCUAACCCUGGGCCAAGAAAAUCUCUUCCUAAACUGCUUUAUACUCGCCUUUUUCUCUUCUUGCCUGAAUUUGUGUGGGCAACUGUGGGUGCUAUCUGGGUGUCAGACAGCAGGGUGCAUUGUGAAAAGACUGUGGUAAAUGCCAUCUUCGGAACAGUCAUUGCCAGCUGGAUUAUCAUCAUCUUUACCAUCAUUGCAAUUGUAAUUGUCUUUGAUCCUCUUGGGGGUAAAAAGACCUUGUACCUCACUGAUGCUAUAGAUCGCAACCUGGAAAGCAGUCAGUCAGGCCAGCUAUUCUAUAAUGUCAAGAAGACUGCAACCCGAGUCUGGGAGAAAAGAAUUAGGUUACUGUGUUGUUGUAUUGUGCAAAAUGAUGACCACCGAGUGGCUUUUACAAGUAUUGCAGAACUCUUCAGCAGCUACUUUUCAGACACUGAUCUGGUGCCAAGUGACAUAGCAGCAGGUUUGAGUCUGCUCCAUCAAGAGCAAGAUUUAGUAGAGAAUUGUCCGAAAGACCCUGAAGAAAUUCUCUGUCAUUCCCCAACAUCUCCUGUGGCUGAUGAUUUGGAUGUUGAAUUAGAAAAUGCUGCUCACUACAUGCAGUUUGCUGCAGCUGCUUAUGGAUGGCCAUACUAUAUAUUCACUAACCCAUUUACUGCUCUCUGUAGACUUAACCGUGACUGUUGCAGAAGCAGAGCGACAGAUCCUGAUAUAAUUGGUGGUGAUUGUUUUAACUUUCACUUUGGAUCCAUUUUAAGAAUAACAGGGCUGCAGUACAGAGAUUUCAUUCAUAUUAGCUUUCAUAACAAGAUUUUUGAGAUUCCAUUUUUUGUCGCUUUGGAUCACAAAAAAGAGGCUGUUGUGGUUGCAGUAAGAGGAACCCUGUCUUUCGAGGAUAUCAUCACUGAUCUAUCAGCAGACUGUGAAGACCUGACACUAGAAGACAUUCUGGAAAAUGGCCUUGUACAUAAGGGUAUAACACAAGCUGCAAAUUACAUUUACCGAAAGCUAAUAAAUGAUGGAAUUCUAAACCAGGCUCUCACCAUUGCCCCUGAGUAUAAAUUGGUGAUAGUUGGGCAUAGUUUAGGUGCUGGAACAGCCUCCAUUUUGGCCAUCCUGCUUAAGAACUCCUUCCCAAUGCUCCGGUGUUAUGCCUUCUCUCCUCCAGGAGGGCUGUUAAGCAAAUCACUUGCAGACUACACUAAGCACUUCAUCAUAUCUGUCAUUGUUGGAAAAGACCUCGUUGCAAGGUUAAGUAUGCCCAACAUGGAAGACCUGAAACGAAGAAUCGUGAGAAUAGUGGCCAAUUGUAACAGGCCUAAGUACCAGAUCUUACUGCGUGGGUGUUGGUAUGAAGUCUUUGGGGGAAAUCCAGGUAACUUCUCAACUGAGCUGGAUGGUAGAAGUCAAGACACCCUGACCCAACCUCUUCUGGCUGAGGAGAGUUUGAUGGUUCAUCAUUCACCCUCUUACAGUACCUUGGGGGAUGAAUCUCAUUUAAAUUCACCUCAGUAUCCUCAGCUGUAUCUUCCUGGGAAAAUCAUCCAUAUUGUAGAAGAAUCCAGCACAAGAAGGUGGUGCUCUUCAGACAUUAAAUACACUGCAAGAUGGUCAAAAGAAACUGCCUUCAGAAAUAUUUUAAUAAGUCCCAAGAUGAUAACAGAUCACAUGCCAGAUGUUGUACUUAAGGCUCUGAACAGCUUGUCCCAGGAUAAAGCAUCUUGUAUUUCCUGUCAGACACAAGAUGAUUUUAAUACCAACGUAGUAUGAGAACAGCAGUGCUGCCCUCAGGUGAAGUAUUCGGGAGGCUUUUGACCUGUCAUGCUUAAGCAGACAACAAGGACAGUUCUGUUAGAAAAAGGAAUCUCCUCAAACCAAGACCACUGGGCUUAGCAGAAGACAGCUUCAGGAGACUAGCAUCUAGAAGAUAUUAGCUGAGCUGUUGUGAUAGCUACAGACAGAGAAGACUACUUCAUCUUCCCUAUCCAAGAGAAGCAGGGGACAGCAUAUGCAUAUUCAAGAUUUGACAGAUUGCAAGCAAUGAAGCAACAUGUACAUUUCUCCCGUUUAAUACUGUAACUGUAAGAGCACAAUAAAAACUGCCUUGGGCUGGAAUAAUUUAAGAACUCUAACGGAACAGUGCCCACAUCAACAGCAACAUUUUCUUUUAAAGGCAUGCCACUUGCACUUUUAAUACUACCUUUGGAACCAAAUGAGGCUGAAUGACAUCAAGUGCUUAGCAAUGUUCAUGUCAGUGGGCAACCAAAACAGCACGCCUGAGAAACAAAGACAAAUCCUACUUUUGGCAGGCAUGCUAACCUUAAAUCAAUGGACUUGCUGAUGAGACUACUCCAUUCACCAAAUUUAUAAAUAUUCCAGUUAAUUCUGGGGCUGCAACUACAUAGAAAGGCAAUGGGUAAUGCAGGUUUUAACAUCUGCUAAAUGCAGAAUGCUCUCAUACUGAAGUAUACUAAAGUAUUACACCUGCAGCAUUAAGCAGAAAUUUGCAAGAGGUUAACUUUGCUAUUAAAUAUGAGUGUUAACCAUAGCUAUGUUCAGUAAAGACAAUUAGACUACUUAGGCUAUAAACGUAAUUUCAACUCUUGUGCUAUA